rnacentral:rRNA from 1 species
GUAACAGGUGUAGCAAUACAUGCUGACGAGCGGCGAACGGGUGAGUAAUGCUUCGGAAUCUACCCAGUAGUGGGGAACAACUAACCGAAAGGUUAGCUAAUACCGCAUACGUCCUACGGGAGAAAGCGGGGGUCGCAAGACCUCGCGCUAUUGGAUGAGCCGAAGUCGGAUUAGCUAGUUGGUGAGGUAACGGCUCACCAAGGCGACGAUCCGUAGCUGGUCUGAGAGGACGACCAGCCACACUGGAACUGAGACACGGUCCAGACUCCUACGGGAGGCAGCAGUGGGGAAUAUUGGACAAUGGGGGAAACCCUGAUCCAGCGACGCCGCGUGUGUGAAGAAGGCCUGCGGGUUGUAAAGCACUUUUAGUGGGGAUGAAAAGUUCAGGGCUAAUAUCCUUGGAUCUUGACCUAACCCACAGAAAAAGCACCGGCUAACUCUGUGCCAGCAGCCGCGGUAAUACAGAGGGUGCAAGCGUUAAUCGGAAUUACUGGGCGUAAAGCGUGCGUAGGCGGUUUCGUAAGUCGGGUGUGAAAGCCCCGGGCUCAACCUGGGAAUUGCAUUCGAGACUGCGAAGCUAGGGUGCGGAAGAGGGAAGCGGAAUUUCCGGUGUAGCGGUGAAAUGCGUAGAUAUCGGAAGGAACAUCAGU